CUGCACAUCACUCCGCAGUGGUAGCAGGCUCGCAGAGGCAGGUAACAGCACAUACAAGGGGCCAAGAAAGACAAGGCAAUAAGAGCCAUCCACCGGAGGCAAAACUUCUCGUCGCUGGUAUCGCACGAGCACGGAGAAGCAGAAGAGCUCUGGAGUGCAUUGACCAUUAUGAGGAACACAGACACCUGAAGAAAUUCGGGAUCCUGCCAACUAUGGCAAGCAACCACUGGCAGAGCGGGACUGAAACACAGCCCCCGUCCGCCAAGCCCAGGGGGAUCUCCAUGCAGCACACAGCGGCUUAUCAAGCCCAGGAGAGCCACCUGCUCUGUGUUCAUCUUGUGAGCUUAACACAAGUACAACGCUUCCUAGUAAGACGAUGUGUCCUGAUUUAUACAGACCCAGGUGGUAAGGGGUGGUGCCUCAGAAUACAAAGGUUUCUACAGAUCUCAGUAAAUACUUUCUGAAUGAGUAGAUAAGGGCCUUUCUGUAUGAUUCAAAUCCAAGGGUUAAACUCUUAUCCAAUACCCACGUGACAGUCACAUCUUAGGUUAGAAGCUACCUCAGCAUUAAACACGGUAAUACGCACUUGGCAUUUAGUUCUCAGAAACCCAGUUCACACAUCACAGUCACCUCUGUGUUAGUCAUCUGUUUACCCCAAUCCACCCUGUUUUCUGUGACCUGUGUCCAGGUUAACAAUGUAUGGAAAGUCAUUCUGAGAAAUGAGGCACACCCAGUACUUCCUAGUCAUCCUCAGCCAAUCCGACGCCCCCUUCUGAUGCUCCCAGCCUUCCUCCCGAGCCUGGACCAGCCUCUUCCCAUUGCAGAGUCAAGUGCAAAGUUUCCUGGACCA